UACGUAGGGGGCUAGCGUUGUCCGGAAUCAUUGGGCGUAAAGAGCGUGUAGGCGGCUCGGUAAGUCCGCUGUGAAAGUCCAGGGCUCAACCCUGGAAUGCCAGUGGAAACUGUCGAGCUAGAGUCCGGAAGAGGCGAGUGGAAUUCCUGGUGUAGCGGUGAAAUGCGCAGAUAUCAGGAGGAACACCAAUGGCGAAGGCAGCUCGCUGGGACGGUACUGACGCUGAGACGCGAAAGCGUAGGGAGCAAACAGG
rnacentral:rRNA from 1 species